rnacentral:rRNA from 1 species
CAGUCGCCACGGUAAGAUAGAGGAUGCAAGCGUUAUCCGGAAUUAUUGGGCGUAAAGAGCUCGUAGGCGGUCUGUCGCGUCUGGUGUGAAAUCCCGAGGCUCAACCUCGGGCUUGCAUCGGGUACGGGCAGACUAGAGUGCGGUAGGGGAGACUGGAAUUCCUGGUGUAGCGGUGGAAUGCGCAGAUAUCAGGAGGAACACCGAUGGCGAAGGCAGGUCUCUGGGCCGCAACUGACGCUGAGGAGCGAAAGCAUGGGGAGCGAACAGGAUUAGAUACCCCCGUAGUCCCUGUCUCUUAUAA